GGCUGACGAGGUCAUUCUAGUUAGCUCCGAUGAUGAGGCUGCUCCUAGGCCUGCUGUCAAGAUGACAACAUGAGGUCCCAAGAAAACUGGAAAUGUUACUUUUGAUAAACAUUGUGUGUAGGCAAACAAAGUUGCCUUGAAGCCCUCACAAGUUGAGAAAUUGAAGCGCCGAGUUCGUUAUCGAAAGCCAACCAUACGCUAUUAUGUAUGCACCAUUCAAGAAGCUCAUGUGAUACCUAAGAAGGAAAAAAUGGUAAAAAGCAUCAAGAAGUAUCUUUUUGAUAAGUUGUCUCGAAGUUUCCUUUCUUACAAGUUGCCCAUGUUUUUUUGUGUGUAGUACUUCAACAAGCCGUACACUACUCAACACAUCAAAAAGCGUCUUGCCUUGGAAGAAGAACAUUCCCUCGAGGUAUACUACAUGGCAAAGAACAUUGCUAAAGUUGGGAUGAUCUGCAGCAAGGCAAAGAACAAGGGUGCUAGCAUAACAACCAAUUGGAAGGAUAUCGUGGACAAGACCAAGAUGAGGAGGGGAGACAUCUUUGUGUUUUGGUUCCGCCGUGACUUUGGUGGACUCACUGAUACAUGCUCACAGUGAAAUACAUAGUUCAGGCAACUGAAAAAGAUACAUGCAAAAG
rnacentral:lncRNA from 1 species